rnacentral:misc_RNA from 1 species
GAUGAAGAACGUAGCGAAAUGCGAUACGUAAUGUGAAUUGCAGAAUUCAGUGAAUCAUCGAGUCUUUGAACGCACAUUGCGCCCCCUGGUAUUCCGGGGGGCAUGCCUGUCCGAGCGUCAUUGCUGCCCUCAAGCACGGCUUGUGUGUUGGGCCUCCGUCCACCUCCCGGGGGACGGGCCCGAAAGGCAGCGGCGGCACCGCGUCCGGUCCUCGAGCGUAUGGGGCUUCGUCACCCGCUCUUGUAGGCCCGGCCGGCGCUUGCCGACACAUCAAUCUUUUUUCCAGGUUGACCUCGGAUCAGGUAGGGAUACCCGCUGAACUUAAGCAUAUCAAUAAGCGGAGGA